rnacentral:ncRNA from 1 species
AGCGCACGAUCGGAUCAGCGAGAUUUGCGAGCUGGAACGGAUCGCAGCCACCGACCGGGUUGCCGCAGAUGCGGUUGAAGGUUCGCGUCGAGCUGAUAUAUUGCAGGAACAGAUAGGCGGCUUCCGGGCUCUUCGACUUCGCAGCCACUGACGCCGAAACGUUGAAGUAGAUGACCGAGCGUCGGACAUGGCGGUCACCUAUCUUGGUGCCGACCGGCUUCCAGGCG